UAGGGAAUCUUCCACAAUGGACGCAAGUCUGAUGGAGCAACGCCGCGUGAGUGAAGAAGGCUUUCGGGUCGUAAAACUCUGUUAUUGAAGAAGAACGUGUGUGACAGUAACUGGUCAUGCAGUGACGGUAUUCAAUCAGAAAGUCACGGCUAACUACGUGCCAGCAGCCGCGGUAAUACGUAGGUGGCAAGCGUUGUCCGGAUUUAUUGGGCGUAAAGCGAGUGCAGGCGGUCUUUUAAGUCUGAUGUGAAAGCCUUCGGCUUAACCGAAGAAGGGCAUCGGAAACUGGGAGACUUGAGUGCAGAAGAGGAGAGUGGAACUCCAUGUGUAGCGGUGAAAUGCGUAGAUAUAUGGAAGAACACCAGUGGCGAAGGCGGCUCUCUGGCCUGUAACUGACGCUGAGGCUCGAAAGCGUGGGUAGCAAACAGGAUUAGAUACCCUGGUAG
rnacentral:rRNA from 1 species